UCAACAUCGAAGUCAGAAUCUUCAAUACGAAUGUCAAGCUAGUCCUACUGUAUGGAGCUGAUUUGUGG
rnacentral:tRNA from 11 species